CCCGCGAUUACGCAACGAUGAGAACGCAGCUCUAGGCCGGUCUGGAAAGGCAGCACAGUUGGGCCCAAGUGGCCCAACUCCCUGGAGGAGAGGACGGGCUCUGAAGACUCUUCCGGCUGCCCCUGAAACCCUGAAACCGCUUAGUUGUUUUUCUGGUUGACUAGCUGCUGCACGCAACUGUCAGCUGCUUGUGAACUGUGUGACGCCAGUUCGCGCUCCUGUUUGUUUUCUAAAAGGCACUGCCCUGAUUUUUUUUUAACGACUAAAUAAUAAUAAUCAUUUCAGUCUCCCUCUCCUGAGGUGUUCCUUGAUGUCUCUAGGGUGCUAGGGCUGGGCCAGCAUCUUUUCCUGCAAUUUUUUUAUCCUCCCAUGGACAGCAGGGAGAACACAGGCUGCACCAGGCUGUUACACCAGGCCUCCCCGCUGGGAUAAAUGCAGCUUGUUUCAAAAGUGAAGGAAGGAAGGAGAGAGCGGAGAGGACAUCAAUCCCCUCCUUCCCAAAGGUUGCACCUACCAGCGACAAGGAAAACUUGGGCGCUGUAUCUGGAAGUCUGAAGAGAUUCUGGUUCAGGAUUGAUUCAGGAUUUCUCCUAGGAGGAACAGCGCAUGUGAUGCCCCUCUUUUCUGUGAUGCUUACAGCUGCUGAUGACUUUUAUCUAAAUCCAUUAACUUAUGAUGAACAGACAAAUGAAUGUGUUCUGAAGCCACCCAAAUUUGUUCCUCCUCAUGCACAGAUGCACAGUGAGCCUAAUGACAAAGUCAACAAUUGUUCAGAAGACCUGCAUUCACCAGAAAGAAUAUUUUUACCAAUAUUCAGAUGAUCACAUUUUAAAAUUCAGCACGGACUGAGUUUUUAUACAUUCUGCACACCCCAAAACAGGGGAAGACCACCACAGCGUGCACAGGAGGAAAAAAGUCAGACUGUGCAAUCAUUAUGCAAUAAUGCAUUAAUAAUAUAUGGUUUAUUGAACCAAAAAAGACUUUGGCCAAACUCCCAGUCAUUUAACCCAUUGAGUGGUUUUAAGUUAUAUAGCCACCGAAGAAGAAAUUACCUGAGGAAGAAUAGAGUAAACCUACCAGGAACCUCCUCAGUUACCUAAAGCAAUGCCUCUAAGAAGCAUGGAGAAGAAGCUCAGUGUGGAAAUGGAGAAAACCAACUUGUUCAUCUAAAGCUGAGUCUCAGGGACUAUUUGGCACAGAGCUAUGAACCUGGGGGACUGGAAAAGUCAGAAACUUAGCAGUACCGAGGAUCAAACUCCGGACCUUGCACUUGUGAGGCAGGUGGCAGAACCACUGAGCUAAAUCCCUGACAAUUUGCAUUUCUUGAAUGGCUAGCAAUAUUGAGCAUUUUUUCAUGUGUUUAUUGGCUGUUUAUACUUCUUCAUCUGAGAAGUGUCUAUUCACUUCAGAUGUGCAUUUUUGGAUUGGGUCUUUAAAUUUGGGGGGUCUAAUUUUGGGGGGUUCUUUAUGUAGUCUAAGUAUUACUCCUCUGAGUAGCUAGCAAAAUUUUUUGGGGAAGCAAAAGUACUUCUUGAAUAAAAUCAGUCUAUGCACAUAACAGC
rnacentral:lncRNA from 1 species